CUGCAUCUAUGAGAUGACUUCGCUGAAUCAUGGAUUCAAAGCAUUUCUAGGUAGCUAUGUUGUCAUGCUCUUUAAGUUACAGUUCCUUCUUUCCCGCAAAAAUAAAAGAAAAAAUUACAGUUCCUUGUUGUAAGUUGUAAUAUAUGAUGUUUCACCAAAAGAUGUAUGUCAGAUGAUGUUUUUUCAUAACAUGAUACGCAAUAUGCAGACACUGAUAAACAAGAUAAACAAGUCUGUUUUUUUUAGAUAUAAACAAGUCUGUUGUUGCUCCUCUAUCGACUAUAUUAUUGGGUGCAUUCUAAGCACUUGUAAUGCAUUAACUUGUACCGUGUUCUUGUGAGCUAUUCAUGACACAUCUGAAAUUUUUAUAGUAUAUUUAUUUAAGUCAUUCAGUAGGGGACUCUAAAGCAUGUUGCGCAGAAGUCCAUAUCACAGAUCAAGUGUGUCAUUUUCAUAGAGCAUAUUUAUUUUAUUUUUAUAUAAAUGAAUAUACUCUUGUUUCUGCACUCAUUUACGCACCACAUUGUCUCAUAUUGAUUGGGAUUUUCAUGCAGUUUGAUGUAGUACAUAUUUUUCUUUAAAAAAUGUGAUCAUUGUUUGAUGUAGUAUACUACAUAACCAGGUAAGAUUAUCCAUCUUUUCUUUGAUAAUAUAUUAAGUACUCUUUUGAUGUAGUACUCUUUUGUGCUCUCUGUCAAGGCGUCGUCAUGGCAAGAAGUCCAGGUAAGAUUAUCCAUCUUUUCUUUGCUAAUAUUAAGUUUCUUAGCUAAUGUCCUCCUAGCUUAGAGCAUGUUCAUCUGACUAAUCAAGCUAACGCAAACCACUUGAAUAUGAAGUACACUUACCACAAUUUGCUAUGUGCUGACUUAAGUUUUCCUUUUAGUAAAAGAAACAUGUCAUUUUUUUGCGGUUUAUGGCUUCCUGCUCAGUGUAAAAGCAUAAGGAUCUCUAUUCCUAAUGUCUCACUUGGUAUGAUAGCCUCCACGGUUUUAUUUCGUCUCCCACUUUCGUCUGGUUUAUUUGUCGGGUUUUUUUCAUCUCCACUUCCCCCUACGCACGCACAAAAAAACUUCACCCCCGCACGAAACUCCGCUCCUCUCGAUCCCGAUCUCUCUGGCCGUCGACCGUCUUCCUUCUCCACCUGGCGCUGCCGUCACAUCGGAGGCGCCGGCCUGACCUGGAUCCCUUAGAAGACAGGUUUGGACCAUCCCUCGAUGCCUUGCUCUGCCCCGAUCUGCUAGAAAGGCAGGCGGCAACGGGGAUUGGAGAGAGGAGACGAGAGGAAGGAGGCUGAUCGCAGAUAGACGGGAUGUUUUCGGUUGGGAGUAAUACGAGAACGACAGCUGGAAGGCUGGACGGCAUUGGAUGGAAGGGAGAGCGGGAGAGACAGGGUGGGCAUGAGGUGACGAGGUUAGUUUGGUUGCCAGGGAGGUUGAGGGAGACAAGCCGCCGUAUAGCUUUUUGUAGCCGAUGGCAUGUGUGCUUGCUUGCUGAUGUGCGCUUGUUGCUAUUGCUGCUUCGCAUGUGUGUGUGGUGUGCCCCUGCCGCUGUGCGCUUGCUGUCAUUACUGAGUGUGUGUGUGUUCUAUGCGCCUGCUGCCGCGCUGUCUGAUAAAAUCGCAUGCACUUCUUUUUGUUUUACUGAAUAAUUCGUGACCACUCUUGAACAAAAGCCACCUGAACUUAGUUUGAGCUCUCAUGCUGUUAAAUGAAGCAUGAUUUUAGCAAGCUGAACAAUGCUUCUGAUUUCCUAACUUAACAGGAAAUUUUCAUUUCUGUUUGUAUUGUUCCAAUCAGUUUUUUACACUAUUAUGUAAUCGCCAUGCGUAUAUAUCAAGUGAUUACAACAUCUUGAUUAUUAUUUUUAUGAUUAUUUCUUUUCUCAUAUUGCUGAUCGACGAUCUUCCUGCAGAUUUCAAUGUUGACUUGAAUCCUGUUAUGAGUUGAUCAAGAUAUCUGCUAUGUUCUGAUGCAAUCACUGAUUAAUUUGACAGAGAGAACGGCAUGGCGGCAAAAGUAACGAGAUGUGGUGUUCCAACUAUAAGUGCCUAAAUUGUCUUUAGUAUAUGUCCAUAAUUGUAGUUUUCCAACUACUGAAUCUUUGAUCAAGUGGUUGUUUAAUUCAUAUGUAUCACAACUAUUAAAUUAAUUAAUUUUUUUAGCUAUAUUAUAGUUUGAGACGAGGGCUUCUUACAAUUCUUAAUGCUACUAAUUUACACUUGCUAGAUUCAUUUUCUCACAUGAGUUUGUUUAGAGAAGGGUAUUUGAUAAAUGAGUUUAGAUCACUCUUAUACUAGAUGGAUUGACACAUACCAAAGAUUGAUCCCAAGCAGAACUACAAUCUGUUCAUGGAUUACUCGCAGGCCCGCAUUCUAAUUAACCAACAACAUUGGGCAAUCUCGACAUAAUCAACGACUACACAGAGGCUGUGAAGAAGUUUGGAUACGAGAUUGACGACGUAGCUAGACGGGUGAGCGAGCUUUAUUGUAAGUGAUUUGUACACUUGGGACUAACACUAUUUAAUUGAUGCUUUGUUUGAUUGUGAAAUUGUAUAAUUGAAGUACUAAGUUUUGUUUGGAUUUUGUAGAAGCAGUUUACAAAUUUGGUUGGGUGGCUUAGAUUUUUUUAUCCACUAUUUAACUAAACAAAAAAUAUAUAAAUCUUACAACAUGCACUAUGCGAGAGAACCAGUAUAGAACUAGAUCUGAAGCCAUAAAUUUAUCUUGAUUAAUAUUGUACCCCUGUUGAAAGUAUCUUUUGUGUGUCUUAGAAUUCAGCAAAUUAGUAUGAAUAUUUCUAGAAACAAUUUUAUACCUAAAUACUCGGCUUGGUUGCAGAUUAUUGGUAAAGAAGAACUGGCUACAAAUUAGUAUGAAUUCCGACAAGGGUGUCAGGGAACUGCUGCAAAUUAGUAUGAAUUCCGACAAGGGUGUCAGGGAACUGGCUGCAAAUUAGCAAAUUAGUAUGACCUCCACAUAGCUAUGAUAUUGCUUAAACCGACUGUAACAACUAGAUUCUCGUCAAUACCUAUGUUAAUUUUUAGAAAGGGUCAGGUUUGGGAAAUCCAUGAACGAGAAGUUAUAUAGAAGGCUUCACAAUGGCGACGUAUUUCAUUGUUUUCAGAUGUCCCAUAUGUCUGGAAAGGAAAUAGCAGAGGGUUUUCAAUGGUGGAAAUAGGUAGUGGUAUUAAUCUAUUCACUCACACUCCAGUUGGAAUGAUCGUAUUGCAUGACUGAAGCAUGGUUUUCUCUUCUCUACUUGUAACAUUCAGAAUCUAAAAUAAUAUCACCUGAACACACGGUGAGUAUGUGUAGAGCAAAGCGAGGGGAGAAACACAAACCAAAAGGACUCUAGGUGUUGCAAUGCUAUGCAAACAGAUACCUUGUAGAUUGCAUGCUCAUGCUAGGCAGAAUAGCCUCAUAUAUGUCAGCCUUCUUCCAGGCAAACAUUGUUUGAUAUAUUAACUUUCUAUACUUGCUCUUUGGGAUUCAGUACAUUAUUGAAUAUACAUCAGUUCAUUCUGCGCUUUUACAAAUGUAGUUUUGGAAAAUCACACACAAACUAUUCAGUUUCUUACUCCUCAUCAACCGAAUGCAGUUCUGUAAGCUAACCGGAUCAGCUAAUGUUUUCUUUAAGUUCUUUUUUGAGUGCCGACAGAGCAUAACGCUUGAAGAUAUGGAGGCGUCAAACCUGUGCCGACCCCCUCUUGGUGAUGCCUCUAACGGAGCCCCUCUUGGUGACAUCUCUAAUGUUGAUCAUCAUUCCCGAAUGACUCCAGUGCCAAUGCCAGCCUCACUCGACCUUACCCUGUAUGGAUCUCACUGCGAAAGGGUAAAUCUUGCUAGCAACACCAACAUAGCAAGGAAAAAUAAACGACCAAUACAAAAAAUGCCAGUCGCUGCCAUCUUAGCGGCAUCUCCACUAUCGAUUAACUCCCCAAAUGCAGUCCAGAUUGUUCCACAGGAAAUAUCGCAGACCACGACAUCUAACCAUAACAUGCCAGAUACGGUUCAUGAUGAUGGGGAACAUAACAGGACCUCAUCAACAGAAAGAAGGUGCAUUCUAAACGCGCGGAGAAGAGCAACUUGUAAGGAGCAAAAAGAAAAGGAAAGUACAUCACUCCCAGCCUGACGGACAAACGUAUUUAUGAACAUGAUGCAUUGACGGGACGGUUAAAAAUCACAAAAGGUAAAUGUGUCCCCAAUUUUGUCUGAUUACAUACUUGAUAAAUCGCUUCUUCUUAAAGUUGUUACUGCUGCUGCUGAUGGAUCCACUUAAUGAAUUAAACUAACCAUUUGUUUUGGAUUGUACAUGAGCUACCAUUGUGGUACAUCUACUAAUAUAUUUUUUGGUAGUUUUGUUUGUAUGUGAACGUUCUAUACAUGCCAUAUACUAUGAAAGAACAGUAUGUACAUGCCGUA